rnacentral:rRNA from 1 species
AUGAUGGCGUCGGAGCCGGUGGCGCGGGCCGUGGCGGAGGAGGUGGGGCGGUGGGGCAGCAUGAAGCAGACGGGGGUGAGCCUGCGGUACAUGAUGGAGUUCGGGUCCGUCCCCACGGACCGCAACCUGCUGCUCUCGGCCCAGUUCCUGCAAAAGGAGCUCCCCAUCCGCAUCGCCCGCCGCGCGCUCGAGCUCGAGUCCCUCCCCUUCGGCCUCUCCGCCAAGCCCGCCAUCCUCAAGGUGAGGGACUGGUACUUGGACUCGUUCCGCGACAUCCGGUAUUUUCCGGAAGUGAGGAAUCGGGACGACGAGCUUGCUUUCACGCAGAUGAUUAAGAUGAUCAAAGUGCGGCACAAUAACGUGGUACCUACUAUGGCUUUGGGAGUGCAACAACUGAAAAACGAACAGUUCAGCUCAAGGAAGCUUCCCCCAGGAUUCGAUGAGAUCCACGGGUUCCUUGAUCGAUUUUACAUGUCAAGGAUUGGUAUUCGCAUGCUCAUAGGGCAGCAUGUGGCUCUGCAUGAACCUGAACCAGAGCCUGGCGUCAUAGGCCUCAUCAAUACAAAAUUGUCCCCCAUACAGGUAGCUCAAAUUGCUAGUGAGGAUGCCCGUUCCAUUUGUAUGAGGGAAUACGGAUCAGCUCCUGACAUCAACAUUUAUGGAGAUCAAAAUUUAACAUUUCCAUAUGUCACAUCGCAUCUUCAUCUCAUGUUGUUUGAACUGGUGAAAAAUUCCCUUCGUGCAGUACAGGAAAGAUAUAUGAAUUCUGAUAAAGAUGUUCCUCCUGUCAGAAUUAUAGUUGCUGAUGGAACAGAGGAUGUUACUAUUAAGGUCAGUGAUGAAGGUGGUGGAAUACGGAGAAGUGGGCUCCCUAGAAUUUUCACAUAUCUUUACAGCACUGCAAAGAAUCUACCUGAUAUGGAGGGCCCUAGUGAAGGGGUAACUAUGGCUGGGUAUGGUUUUGGACUUCCAGUUAGUCGCCUUUAUGCGCGAUAUUUCGGUGGCGACCUACAAAUCAUAUCCAUGGAGGGAUACGGCACCGACGCUUACCUCCACUUGUCACGGCUGGGAGACUCGGAGGAGCCAUUGCCUUAG